rnacentral:lncRNA from 1 species
UAUCUUCUAUCCUUCCACCUAAAUUUUUCCAACCUGUCUUGGCUACUUCUUAGGAUCAUCUCAUAUAUCUUGCAAUAUUAGGAAACUUGAUUGCUUGUACUUCAUAAUCAUAUUACGGAAAAGAUACUAUCCCUGACUCCUUGUUGGUGGUGAUGACUCCAGUUCAUGUUUCUUGCCUGGAACCAUCUACUCUUUCUCGCAAAAUGUUCCUUUUGCUCUUAAGAAUCUUCUUAUC